UACAGGGGGUGCAAACGUUGCUCGGAAUUAUUGGGCGUAAAGCGCGCGUAGGCGGCCACUUAAGUCGGAUGUGAAAGCCCCUGGCUCAACUGGGGAAGUGCACCCGAAACUGAAUGGCUUGAGUGCGAAAGAGGGUCGCGGAAUUCCCGGUGUAGAGGUGAAAUUCGUAGAUAUCGGGGGGAACACCGGUGGCGAAGGCGGCGACCUGGGUCGACACUGACGCUGAGACGCGAAAGCGUGGGGAGCAAACAGG
rnacentral:rRNA from 1 species